CCUACGGGGGGCAGCAGUGGGGGAUAUUGCACAAUGGGCGCAAGCCUGAUGCAGCGACGCCGCGUGGGUGAAGAAGUACCUCGGUACGUAAAGCCCUAUCAGCAGGGAAGAAAAUGACGGUACCUGACUAAGAAGCUCCGGCUAAAUACGUGCCAGCAGCCGCGGUAAUACGUAUGGAGCAAGCGUUAUCCGGAUUUACUGGGUGUAAAGGGAGCGUAGGCGGCAUACCAAGCCUGAUGUGAAAACCCGGGGCCCAACCCCGGGAGUGCAUUGGGAACUGGCAAGCUAGAGUGUCGGAGAGGCAGGCGGAAUUCCUAGUGUAGCGGUGAAAUGCGUAGAUAUUAGGAGGAACACCAGUGGCGAAGGCGGCCUGCUGGACGAUGACUGACGCUGAGGCUCGAAAGCGUGGGGAGCAAACAGGAUUAGAUACCCCUGUA
rnacentral:rRNA from 1 species